UACGGGGGGAGCAAGCGUUGUUCGGAUUUACUGGGCGUAAAGGGCGCGUAGGCGGCCUCUGCAAGUCGACUGUGAAAUCUCCGGGCUUAACCCGGAACGGUCAGCCGAUACUGCAGGGCUAGAGUGCAGAAGGGGCAACUGGAAUUCUCGGUGUAGCGGUGAAAUGCGUAGAUAUCGAGAGGAACACCUGCGGCGAAGGCGGGUUGCUGGGCUGACACUGACGCUGAGGCGCGAAAGCGUGGGGAGCAAACAGG
rnacentral:rRNA from 1 species